rnacentral:piRNA from 1 species
ACCUGGAUGACAAGUGUCACGUAUAUCAGAU